rnacentral:rRNA from 1 species
CGGGUUGCAGCAGUGGGGAAUAUUGGACAAUGGGCGCAAGCCUGAUCCAGCCAUGCCGCGUGAGUGAUGAAGGCCUUAGGGUUGUAAAGCUCUUUCAGUGGGGAAGAUAAUGACGGUACCCACAGAAGAAGCCCCGGCUAACUUCGUGCCAGCAGCCGCGGUAAUACGAAGGGGGCUAGCGUUGUUCGGAUUUACUGGGCGUAAAGCGCACGUAGGCGGAUUGGUCAGUUAGAGGUGAAAUCCCGAAGCUCAACUUCGGAACUGCCUUUAAUACUGCCAGUCUAGAGUCCGGAAGAGGUAAGUGGAACUCCUAGUGUAGAGGUGGAAUUCGUAGAUAUUAGGAAGAACACCAGUGGCGAAGGCGGCUUACUGGUCCGGUACUGACGCUGAGGUGCGAAAGCGUGGGGAGCAAACAGGAUUAGAUACCCGCGU